GUACACUACACAUACUACGUGACAAUGACAUAUGACGUAGGGGGCGAGAAAACAGAUGGCACCGGAGAGGGGGGGGGGGGGGGGAGAAAGAUGAAGUUUUGGUAACAAGUUCACACACCCACUCGUGUCGAAAUGAGAUUUUC
ensembl:ncRNA K09E9.11 ncRNA